CCUACGGGAGGCAGCAGUGAGGAAUAUUGGUCAAUGGCCGAGAGGCUGAACCAGCCAAGUCGCGUGAGGGAAGACGGCCCUACGGGUUGUAAACCUCUUUUGUCGGGGAGCAAAGCGAACCACGUGUGGCUCAUUGAGAGUUCCCGAAGAAAAAGCAUCGGCUAACUCCGUGCCAGCAGCCGCGGUAAUACGGAGGAUGCGAGCGUUAUCCGGAUUUAGUGGGUUUAAAGGGUGCGCAGGCGGAGGUGCAAGUCAGCGGUAAAAGUGCGGGGCUCAACCCCGUACUGCCGUUGAAACUGCAUCCCUUGAGUGCGCGAGAAGUAUGCGGAAGGCGUGGUGUAGCGGUGAAAUGCAUAGAUAUCACGCAGAACUCCGAUUGCGAAGGCAGCAUACCGGCGCGCAACUGACGCUCAUGCACGAAAGCGUGGGUAUCGAACAGGAUUAGAUACCCGGGUAGUC
rnacentral:rRNA from 1 species